rnacentral:lncRNA from 1 species
AGGAGCACACACAGGUCAGGAAGGUGACACUUUGUACUGUCUGGAGACGUUUGAUGCUGUCACAACUGGCGGAGGGGACCAGCGUUACUGCUGUUAACUGGAAUGUGACAACACAAAGAACAGCCUCUCAACCCCACAGAAUUACCUUGUUCAAAGCAUCACUUCUGAGCUUCAGAAGCUUUAGUCGAAGCGUGGACCAGGUCUUCACGGCUGUGGGUCCGGGCUCAGUCCCAUAAGAUGGAAGGCUAGCAAGUGGCAGAGAAGUCAGAAGGAAACAAUACAGAGUCAGUGGGCUCUGGGACACUGCACGGUAGCGUCUUUAAAUAUUGCAGAAGCCUUAGAGCUAAGUCAAUGCUGCAAAUAGAGUUGAGAAUUUUAGAUGUUAGGAAAUCGGUGUGAAGGCGGGGCCCAUGGUGCAGCUGAAAGGCUCCGCGAGGAGCCCCUCAUUCAGGCCUCAGGACAAUAGCGGACACCCAAGAACUCACAACAGACCGAGCUUGUUGCAAACCACAUGAGGCUUUAUUCGGGGAAAGCCAGAGCUCUGGGGACGACUCAUAUCCCACGCAGGGGUAGAGGAGUUGUCCUCGAGGGGAAAGAGUUCCCAGUUUUUAUAGGCCCUCAGGGGGGAAAGGAGAAGGGGGAGAGUAGGGGAUUUUCAGAUCUAAAUAAUGUCUAUUCUUAAGAAAUGGGUAUGGGAGGGGUACAAGGAAAGAGUCUAAUGAAGGUGCAGCAAUGGGCACGCACCUGGUCAGAACAUUGGCAGACACACAGGUUCAAGGAGUGGCCAGAGCACUGUGCACCUCUAUUUUUCUAAAUCAGUGAAGCUAAUUCUGCUAACACUGACGUCUAUCUUGCCAAUUUCAGGGCUUCUGUGUCCUUUUACAUUCUGCCAGGAUCUUUCACAGCCACAGGGGAGAAGAGCAAGCUUAAACAGUUCGUUAGGUGAUUCUGCAGCCACCAGCUGAACCCAGAAAGGAAGACAUUCAGUGAGAUAAGUACCUGACACACAUGGUUGUCACCGUCUCCCACCCCCGAGUUUCAGUCACAAGCAUUGCUAUUAUAAUAUGUGUAGAAAGAUCCAAUUCUGUUUCGUUCAGUGUUAUUGAAAGUUUUUCAAAUUGAGCUCAUGUUGCUCGGUUGGUAGAGUGCUUGCCUAACAUGGAUAAAGCCCCCGGCUUCAUAACUAGCACCCAUGAAACUGGGUGUGGGUGGCAUAGCCUUAUGCUCUCAAAGCUUGGGAAGUGGAGGUGGGAAGAUCAAACACUUAAGUUAAUUGUUUUCUAUAAAGUGAGUUCAAGGCCAGCCUGAGCUGCAUGAGAUCUUGUCUCAAAACAAAACAAAACAAACAAAACAAAACACCACCACCACCACCACCACAACAACAACAGUAACACACUCUAAUAUUAAGUAUCCCUGGGAAUGCUUGGUGCUCUUCUAGAGGACCUAGGUUGCAUUUCUUUUUUUUUUUUUUUAAUUUAUUUAUUUUAUGUAUAUGAGUACACUGUUGCUGUCUUUAGACACACCAGAAGAGGGCACUGGAUCCCAUUACAGAUGGUUGUGAGCCACCAUGUGGUUGCUGGGAAUUGAACUCAGGACUUCUGGAAGAGCAGAGUUUGUGCUCUUAACCACUGAGCCAUCUCUCCAGCCCCGAGGUUGCAUUUCUUGCAUCCAUGUUAAAUGAUCACAGUCACCUGUAUCUCUAGCUCCAGGAGUUAUGAUGGCCUCUUUUGCCCUCAAAGACACUGUCAUAUGCAUAACACACACAUGCGCAUUUGCGAGUGCACACAAGCUCACACACAAAUGUACAGACACAUGCGCAUUCACACACAUAUAUGCAUGCAUGCAUACACAGGUGCACACUUGAACACAGACACCCACAAGUGUCCAAGCACACACACACCCAUACACACACACACACACACACACACACACACACACACACAAAUAAAAAGAAAAAGGAAGUCUCACUAGAAGUAGGAUCAUUUUGUGGCUAAUGCACUAAUAGAUUUAUCUCUUCAUCCUUCCUCCAGCUUUAUUCAGUUUUGUGGGGUUCUCUCCUUCCUUGAGUUGUGCUUUAGUAAGAAGUACAUUGUACCAAGAUAUAUUAGUCCAAUAUAAUCUACACACACACACACACACACACACACACACACAGCAUAAAUAAAACUCCUGGAAAAUUUUAGUGUUCCCACCCUUAAGUUUUUAAAGAACUAAACUUUUCUCUUCUGGCUUAUUCAGUAAAAUGUUGUUUAAGACACAAUACAAGGUGGUUCUGAUGGUGCAGGCCUGUCAUUCCAGUUGCUUGGGAAACUGAGGUAGGAAGACUGCAAGUUCGAGGUCUGCCUGGACUGUGCUGUGAGUUCAAGGACAGCCUCUACCACUUAUCGGGUCCCUGACUGAACACACAAAAGCAGGGCUGAAACAUAGCUCAGUUUUCCUUUUAAACAUUUUUUUAAAAACUGAAUAUUUUCUCUUUGUGCGUGAGUGCUUUGCCUACAUGUGUGUCUGUGCACCUCAUGUGUACCUGGUAUUCUCAGAGACCAGAAGAGGAUAUAGAACCCCUUGACACUAGAGUGAUGGAUACAUGGCUGUUAGCCACAUGUAGGUGCUGGGAAUUGAACCCUGGUCCCAUGGAAGGACCAUCCCCAGUCCACUGAGAAUAUCUUCAUAUAUUCGUGUGCUUCCGCAAAUGAAAAUUCCUCCAUUGAUCUAAAUUAUUUCUAUGCUUUUCCAAGAAGUCCCAUGAACUCAGAAAGUGCCCUGGGCCUUCCACUCUUCAGUCUUCUGGGAAGAAGUCAUCUCUACUGGCAUUACAGACUCCUAGAGAAGAAAACAUUUUAAAAAGAAAGAAAAAUUAAAAGCAAAAAAAAAAAAAAAAAAAGUGAAAAAGCAAAACGAAUUAAAAAAAAAAUAAUGGCAAGGAA